rnacentral:rRNA from 1 species
UACGGAGGGUGCAAGCGUUAUCCGGAUUCACUGGGUUUAAAGGGUGCGUAGGCGGGUUGAUAAGUCAGUGGUGAAAUCCCCGAGCUUAACUUGGGAACUGCCAUUGAUACUAUUGAUCUUGAAUACCGUGGAGGUCAGCGGAAUAUGUCAUGUAGCGGUGAAAUGCUUAGAUAUGACAUAGAACACCAAUUGCGAAGGCAGCUGGCUACGCGAAUAUUGACACUGAUGCACGAAAGCGUGGGGAGCAAACAGG